rnacentral:lncRNA from 1 species
AAUAUUGGCAUUGUUCUAAUGGCUGCAUUAUUCUGAUUAAUAAUAGGAGAAACAAAUACAUAAAUCUGUAUUCUUAACUUCAAAAUACUGUAUAAUCCGACUGCAAUAGGUAGUUUUCAAUUCCAAAUGAAGCAGUCCAUGUUUUAUUUGAGUAUUUUUAUCUUCAUUACAUUUUUGGCUAACAGAGAAGUAAUGGCCCAAAGUAAUGAGGAUAUAAUCCAAGGAAAUCCUUCUAAGAAAUUUGGGAUAUUUGCAGCCGCUCUGAGGGAUGUAAUGCAACAAAUUCCUCCAUCGGUUACUCUUCCAGGUCCUAUUCUGUCUAGUAGCGCUGGAGCAUCAAAGAUUGGUAAACGCUAAAUGCCACUUCUCAUUCCUAACCAAAGAAGAAGAAAACAACUCGCAGUUGCUUUUGAUGGUUAAUAAAGAAUUGUUUGGCUGAAC